rnacentral:rRNA from 1 species
UAGGGAAUUUUCCACAAUGGGCGCAAGCCUGAUGGAGCAACGCCGCGUGCAGGAUGAAGGCUUUCGGGUCGUAAACUGCUUUUAUUUGUGACGAUUAUGACAGUAGCAAAUGAAUAAGGGUCGGCUAACUACGUGCCAGCAGCCGCGGUCAUACGUAGGACCCGAGCGUUAUCCGGAAUUACUGGGCGUAAAGAGUUGCGUAGGUGGUUUGUUAAGUGAAUAGUGAAAUCGUGCGGCUCAACCGUAUAAACAUUAUUUAAACUGGCAGACUUGAGUAUGGUAGAGGUCACUGGAAUUCCAAGUGUAGGAGUGAAAUCCGUAGAUAUUUGGAGGAACACCGAUGGCGUAGGCAGGUGACUGGACCAUUACUGACACUGAGGCACGAAAGCGUGGGGAGCAAACG